CUUCCCUAAUCUAGAAAUCAGAAAUUUGAAAUGUUCCAGUGGACAUUUCCUUUGAGUGUCAUGCAGGCGCUCAAAAAGUUUCGGAUUUGGGAGCAUUUCAGAUUUUAGAAUUUUGGAUUAGAGAUACGCAUCUUGUACAGUUUUAGGGUAAAAUGUUCCUUUUGUUUUGGACUGGCAAUCCAGAGUCCAAACUUACUUCUGGAGUUACUAUGUUCAAAAUCCAGUAGUUUGGACAAAGUAAAGAGUGUUUUUCUUUGAGUUG
rnacentral:lncRNA from 1 species